UACCAGCACCCCGAGUGGUUGGGACGAUUAUUGGGCCUAAAGCAUCCGUAGCCGGUUCUGCAAGUCCUCCGUUAAAUCCACCUGCUCAACAGAUGGGCUGCGGAGGAUACCGCAGAGCUAGGAGGCGGGAGAGGCAAACGGUACUCAGUGGGUAGGGGUAAAAUCCAUUGAUCCACUGAAGACCACCAGUGGCGAAGGCGGUUUGCCUGAACGCGCUCGACGGUGAGGGAUGAAAGCUGGGGGAGCAAACCGG
rnacentral:rRNA from 1 species